AAUGUUCUUCGGGGCAGGGUGAAAUUCCCGACCGGCGGUAAAGUCCGCGACCCACGCAAGUGGUUGAAUCCUAAUUAAAGGUACCGAUAGUUAGAGUCUAGAUGGGAGAAGAUUAAU
rnacentral:ncRNA from 2 species